rnacentral:rRNA from 1 species
GGUGUGGGGACAUUCCACGGUUUCCGCGCCGCAGCUAACGCAUUAAGUGCCCCGCCUGGGGAGUACGGCCGCAAGGCUAAAACUCAAAGGAAUUGACGGGGGCCCGCACAAGCGGCGGAGCAUGCGGAUUAAUUCGAUGCAACGCGAAGAACCUUACCAAGGCUUGACAUGUUCUCGAUCGCCGUAGAGAUACGGUUUCCCCUUUGGGGCGGGUUCACAGGUGGUGCAUGGUUGUCGUCAGCUCGUGUCGUGAGAUGUUGGGUUAAGUCCCGCAACGAGCGCAACCCUCGUUCCAUGUUGCCAGCACGUAGUGGUGGGGACUCAUGGGAGACUGCCGGGGUCAACUCGGAGGAAGGUGAGGACGACGUCAAAUCAUCAUGCCCCUUAUGUCUUGGGCUUCACGCAUGCUACAAUGGCCGGUACAAUGGGUUGCGAUACUGUGAGGUGGAGCUAAUCCCAAAAAGCCGGUCUCAGUUCGGAUUGGGGUCUGCAACUCGACCCCAUGAAGUCGGAGUCGCUAGUAAUCGCAGAUCAGCAACGCUGCGGUGAAUACGUUCCCGGGCCUUGUACACACCGCCCGUCAAGUCACGAAAGUCGGUAACACCCGAAGCCGGUGGCCUAACCCUUGUGGGGGGAGCCGUCGAAGGUGGGACCAGCGAUUGGGACUAAGUCGUAACAGGUAAACCGUAA